UCUGUCUAGCUCUGCUUUUCCUGUCAAUGUGUGAAACCCAAAGUGUUUCCAUCCUUUACUGGAUGUGUAGUGUUUACCACGCUGGAUUUAACAUGGGAGGGUGCAGGUCGUAUCCACGCUGACCCUACAACGUUUUAUACUUUCUCUUCUUUGUUUUGGUUGACGGAUACGGAACGGAUAUGACGUCACGUUACU